UGCUACUGUAUCUAAGUGGUAUCUAACUGGUGCAUGUAAAGGAAAAUCCUGGUUCCCUCAAUGCUAGUGCUCUGUUUGGAUACCAGCAGGAGACUCGCAUAUGUCAGAAGCUUCUUACUUGAAUUAUGAAGCAGAUCAGAGGCCAUCACAAAAUCAUCCCAGAAGAAAAAGGCAACAUAAUGGAACAGAAAUUAAAAUACAAAUUUAAGCACAAAGCACCAGGAGAGAAAUUGCAACGUGUUCUAAUAUCUUCCAGAUGUGGAUUUCAUUACGGCUAA
rnacentral:lncRNA from 1 species